GUUGUUGUUCUUGACAUCUGAUUUGUGUCCAUUUAUUCUUUUACGUAGAGACUGUCCAGUUUGACUGAAUGGGCCUUAACAGAUGAUGUCUCCUGUUGAUAGCUUUUAAGAAUGAGAUACCUCAAGAUUCAGGAGUUUCUCAUCCAGAAUGGAACCUUCUUCAGGAGACUGCAUCAUAUGAAUUGAACUUGCAGUGAGCAGUUAUUUAUAAGCUGAUGUGAGUUAACUUCAGUGACAGCAAAUUGGAGAGGUCAGAGGCUCUGAAAGAUGGGAGAGCAUCCACCGGUGACAAACGUCUGUUCGUUGCAGCCGACACCCAGUCCCGCACCGUCGAAUGCCAAGUUGUUAUGCCUUGUAAGGCAAAUAUUGAUUGCCUUGGGUUUCACUCUGAUUAUCAUACAUGAAUAAUGGAGCCCCCACCUUUAGGAAUCAUUGUUCUAGCCCUGUGAUGAGUGGGUUACAGGUGCCAGCUAUCAACGGCAGUUAAUUUUGUUGACGGCUUCAAUUGCUGUUGCUGGAAGCCGGGUCCCUACCAGAAGAAAAAUGCUCAAAUGUCAAUAAUGAGCAUAGGUGUGUGGAGUAACUUUCAACCUGAGGGCAUCCAAAGUGCCUUACAACUUUCACUGAUGGAUUUUUCAGGUUGUGCAUUUGUGUUGCUAGGGUGAGAAGCAGAUAGACGAGACUCCCUUUGCUCACCACUUAGCAGACGUUCCCCUGUCUAAGUCCAGCACGUCCCUUCGAUCCCUCUUCCACCCUGCCCUCCUUAUCCCAGUGAUCGCUUUUCUCUGCAGUGUCACCGCUCCUCCACUUUCCCCGGGUGCUCAGGUUCUUCCGUUUUCCACACAAUUGAAAUUCAAGGUGGCCAAGGCCUGGGCCUAGCGAAACUUUGUGGUUCUGGGCUUGUUCCUUCCUUGCACUGUAAACGACUGUCUUCAGUUCAGUUUGUUAGCCUUUCAGAUGAGUGGGUUAGGGACACCAGGCCACCAAACAGAACUGGCAGAGGCUGAAUUCAGUCUUAUAAGGGCUGACUCUCUUCUUUGCCUAAACUGCAAGAAAACCAGACACACAUGGACAAAUUCUCAGUUUGCCGUUGGCCAUGAAUACAACUGCUGAGCCAGUCUCUCCCCUAGGUCCAACCCCUUUGCAUUGCCUGAGGGGUGGCUCUACUUUCCCAGCUGAGAAUUCCCUUGGUGUAGGGGGAGCAAUCAGAGCUGGUGUCUAAGAAUUGUUCCUACCUAGGGGGCUUGAUCAUAUGUUGGGGGAGGUAGAGGUAGGAGAUGAUUCAAUGCUGUGAAUUCUCAGCUCAUGUAUGGUCCCUGAUUAUUAUGUUAUAGUGGUGCCCAGGAAUCGACCAAGAAUGGGCCCCAUUGUGAUAGGCAUCAUACAGACACAGAUAAGAAGCAUGGACUGUCUACUCAGGGACCACAGUUAACUGUCAUAAGUUAGAGCAGCCUUGGGGUUGUGUAACUUACAUUAGGGUUGGAACACCUGAAGCCUGAGAAUCAGUGAGCUGGAGCCAGCAGGAAGCCAGUUACAUCUCCCCUCCCAGUGCAGCUGGAGAGAAUCUGGCCCUUUGUGGAAAAUGAAUUUGCAGGUGCAAUUGCAAACGUGGCCUCCAGUGUCAGUCAAGUUUAAAAUAACGCUAUGCAGCCAUUGGGGUGUACUAUGGCAGGCCUGCGUGCUGGCUAACCGUUUUUAUGCUGCUCAUCCAGCCAGUGUAUAUGCAUCUGACAAGGGCAGCAUGUUUACAUGGCAGGUUGUCAUAAGUCAUAUGAGGUUUGCAGUUCUCCCCAGCAGAAAGAGGCUUUUACACCAAAGUCUUUUACACCACUUAAAUCCUAGAAUGGGUCUACCCUGGAAAUCUGCCUCAGAACACCCACUCUGCGGGUCAUGGAAGGGUUCUCUGUGCCAGUCCCAAAUAGGCAAGUGUAUGGCUGGAGGGAGGGUUCAGGGUAAGACUAUGGGUCUGCAUUUACAUGGAGCAAGAGGCCCGGAAACCCUACUCAGUAUUCCGACCUAUAGAUACUAGUAGUGUCCAGGAAAGGGUCUUGCUGCACCUCAUGUGGUGAAUUACAUCCACCCACAAUCCCUAUGGACUCCCAGCACAAAGUCGUAAGUAAUCAUGUGUGCAUGUGAAUUUCACCCACAAUCGCAAUAGCAUCCGGGUAAUGGAGAUGGGGGGGUGAGAGGGGCAGAGGUUAUAGCUGAAGCCAUGAAAGGGUUAACUGCAUAACUCUAGGGCUGAUGAACUGAAGGUGGCCCAGCUUUCAUAAUAUUUAACCAAGUGCAUGAUGUUCAAGGAGCCUUAACUCUCUAUGGUCCCAGGACCAAUCCUGUCUUAAAUGAGCUCAGUGUAGCUGAGCACACAAGCAUCUAAUCUGGCCUUUGCACCUGGGAGCCGCAGCUCAGGUAGGUUCUGUUCUUUGCCUGAUGCUAAUAUGCGCGUGGUCACAGAAUGUGCAUAUUCAUUAUUAAUAAGCAAGCAAUAGGUAAUUUGAAUUUAAAUGGCAUCGCAGGUGCAUACCCUCUAGUUGCUCAUUUACAUAAUCCAAAUAAUCUUUUAAGGUUAAAAUCUGAACCAUAACAACCUCCUGCAUAUCUACUUAUGUAGACUUAUUACAGGAAAGAAGAAAGUGUUUUAUCAUCAUCUGAGCCGUACUGAGCCAAUGAAGUUUGUAAAUAGCUGUACAGACUAAUUUGCUUGAACUCCUGUCUGCUGUUUAUAGCAUUUAAACGAGGUACAAAUUGUCUAGAAAUGUAGUGAUUCACAGUUAGAUUCGAAGUCACAACUUGCCGGGGGGGAAACAACCCAAAGUAUUAAAACCUUCUUCCAAACUUCUUUUCUAGAUUCCCUUUCCCAGAGCGAUAGCCAGAACCUGCCACUAGGUAGCUUACUACCAGCCUCACGACUGCCUUCUAUGCAUGCACGACAGCUAUAUUAUUCAUUUUAACAUGGCAAAGUCAAGCACUCAAAAGUUAGGAAAUGGCAGAAGUAAAGGGGUCUGUGGAACCUUAAAUCAGCCCCCUGGUAUGCGUGCAUUAAGAUGAUCCAUGCUUCCCUCUCUCAUGCUCUAGGAAUAACUCACUGCCACAGCAUCCCUUCCAUGGUGACUCAGAUGGCAGAAAAUAAAAUCCACACUCUUAAUUUAAUCAUUCUUUAGUCCAACGUACAACUAAACCGUUAGUCCUGAGCUGGUUGGCUCUGAGAGGGGUGUUUGUUGAAUGCCUUGUGCUAAACAUGUUUAACCUCAGAUGUGGACUUUACUGGAAGAACUGGCCGGAGAGGUGCCAUGGUGACAGUUGCCUCGUUUGUGGUGAACAGUGUCACCUUGGAGACUUGUGAGUAACUAAUGGAGGAAGUGGGGAGUUUCUGGAGCUGUUUGCAGAGCCAGCCCUGGAAAGUCAUUUUGUGACAAAUUAUCACAUUCUAGGUUUAAAAAAAACAACUGUUUUACUUCUUCCUAACUUUAAAUCCGCCAUCCCCACUUCCCCUCCCUCUGCUGGCAACGCUGAAUCCCUGGCUGCCUCCCUGCUCUCACUGGAGAUUUUGUACAGAUGGGGCUUGGUGCUUGCAUCCUGACAGGCAGGGGGUCGGCACUAGAAGCAAAGCAUGACUCUCCGACUCUAUUUCUCCAAUAAGGGAAGGAUCUAUACCUCCCGUUGAAACUUGGACUGGGAACUUCUGAAUCUAUUUAAGCUGUGGACAGAUGCACUGGCUGGGGAGGGAAAACAAAGUCCCACCCACAUGCCUUGUGUUCAGGGCUCACUUUGUCAACAAAUAAGGCUCCAAACCAAGAUCAAGUAAACUCUAACUAGGGGUACCUAACCACCCAAAGGCUUUCCAAGCUUUCUGCACCUGGAAAAGUAUGUCGUCUUACCUCCCCUUUCAGUAGCCCUUCUGGCUACUAUGGAGAGACCCUGUAAAAACACCCCUGAUCCUGGGGCUACAUUAUAAUGCCACAGCGGCACAGCUGCAAUGCUUCAGCAUAGCCACUCACUACAGUGGGUUCCCUUCUGGUUCACUACAGGUUCACUGCUGGUUCCCUAGGGUUCACUACAGAAGGGCUCCCCUAUUGCUGUAAUUAAUCCACCUCCCUGAGAGGUGGCAGCGAGGUGAAUGGGAGAAUUUUUCCGUUGACCUAGCACUGCCUACGGUGCGGGUUAGGUCGGCUUAACUAUGUUCGUCGGGGUGUGGAUUUUUCACACCCCGAGCAAUGUAGCUGGGUUAACCUAACUUUUCAGUGUAGAACAGCUCUGAGUCUCUCCUGGCUGCUUCUCCUGCCUCAAAGUCGGGAGGUCUUGUACCUGGUUUCCGGUGGGGCCCGUUCUUGUGCCCUAGUUUCUAGGGCCCAUGGGUCAUACCAGGCACACUGCGAUGUGCGCAUGUGCUCCAAGGCCCAGUGCCCAGUUACAGACCCAUCUGACACCUUGCAUUUUACCUGCUGAAUUGCAGCAGAAGGCAGGUCAGAGGUGGUGAUCAUGGGAUGAAAGAAGCAGCAGAGAGAUGGGGAGAAGCUUUGACUAUAGUUAUGUUACGGGCAGGAAUAGCAGGAACUGUAAAGGCUACUGCACAUUCUCCAGCCUGUAAGAAGGACUAGCAGCAACUAAUCUGCUUGUCUCCUUCACAACAACGAGAUUCCUCUUGUUCUAUGGACAGCCGUAUCAGUUGCUUUCCAUUAUUACCCUGUCCAGUAUAUGGCAGCUCCUUGCACGUGCAUCUUAAGGUCAAUAGCACUGAUAGCUGGAGACCUGGGGAGGGCCCCACUACUGCCGUCAUUGAUUCUGAGUCAUCCUCAGCCUCACUGCUGACUCGUAUGCAGUGGUGGGGAGAACUGUUUCCUGACAUGAGCAUGGAGUGGCUAGAGCUGGGAUUGUUGAGUGGGAUCUUCACAAGAGGCUAAAGGGAGAUAGAUGCACUGCUCCCAUUGAAUGGCAUUGGGCUCCUAACUCCCACAGGCACUUUUGAACACCCCCAUUGUGAGCAGAUGAACAGAUAUUUAAGGAGGUAUGAAGGGAGUCAAGUGGUGACUCAGCACCAGGGGUGGAUACAUUAGACAUUCACAGUGUGGGCAGAAUAGAUGGGUUAGAGAUCACAGAGGACUCCCCUCAUCCUUAUGUGCCUUGGAUACGACAUCUGUGGGAAAACGGGCACAGGGGAAUGGUCAUGUUUCCUGCUAGUGAGGGUGUGGCCAGUGUAUCUGUGUGGUGCGUAGAUCCUCCCCAUGACCAAAACCCCCAUGUAGGAGCCAGAUGUGGGGCCAGAGCCAGGAGGUCAAACAUGGCAAGGUCCACCAUCUGCUACUUGCCCUCCUCACAACCAACAGCACUCUGAGACCCUCUGAUGGAAGUUGCUACAUUGCUCCUAUUUGUACUGUAGUAGCAUCUAGAAGCCCCCUUCAGGGAUCAGAUCCCAUUGUGCUAGGCACUGUACGUAUAUAAUAAUAAUUAAUAAAACAAUCCCAGUUCCAAAGAGCUUACAGUCUAAGCUUACAGGCUUAGAAAUGCCAAGUAUAAUUAAUUGUCUCUCUUCUUUUAUCAGAGCUGCCAGUUAUAAAUCACCAGCAUCCAGAUGUGGAUAGGAGCUCAUCCUCCUGGAAACAGCAGCUGUAGUCAGAGUCCUUACCAAAGCAGCGGUGUUCUAUUCUCACAGGAAGGACCCUUGAAGUACCAAGGUCCAGACAGGAUGUGUUAAGCUCAGACCGAGAGCCCCAAGUCUGAAUUUCCCUGUGUGUAGCAGUUGAGUAAGAAUGUUUAAUAGUUUUUAAUCAUGAGAGGCUGUGUGGGUCAAUGCUUAGUGCAGGGGAUUGUGAGUCAGGGUCCUGGCUCCUAUUCCCAUCUCUACCUUUCUGGAUGGCCUUGGGCAAGUUACUCUGUCUCUCUCGCACUCUCUUUGCUUCAGUAUGCUCUGGUUUAAAGUGGAUCUAAGAAUCCUUGCUUAGUUUCCAGGAGCGCUGUGCUAUUGUAGGAACAUAAAAAGUGCCACACCAGACCAGAUCAGUGGUCCAGCAUUUCCUCUCCAUGCAGAAGAUGCAAAAACCUUUGCAAAUAAGCACUUACGGAACAAUGUAGCCAUAGAGUCUCUUUGUAAUGUUCGCCAGUUAGUGGUUGGCUUAUACCCUGAAGCAUGAGGUUUGUAUCCCUGCCAAACUUUUGUUUGAUUGUGUUUUCUUAUUAAUCCUUCCUUGGAUAGUCUCAUUAUCCACAAAGGCAGGGAUUUUCAAAUGAGUCUAAACACGCACAUCCUAUUUAAUUUCAGUGAGAUUGAGUUCCUGAUUCCUUUAAAUGCCUCUGAAAAGUCCAUCCAUAAAUACGGAUACUUUUUGAAUCUUUGGGCUCAGGGGCAUCAUGGGGCAAUAAGUUCAAAGGCUAAUUGUGCAUGGGGAGGGGAAAAGCAUUUCUUUUUGUAAGUUAUAAAUGUACUGCCUUUCAUUUUCAAAAGCAUUUUAAGAUUUGGGGAUGAAAAGUGGCUGCACAAAUACCAAGACGCUAGAAAUGCAAAAUCAUAAUAUACUGCGUAACGGUUCUGUAGAAUGGAAGCCAAGAAUGCAAUACAAUACAAUUAACAGAAAGGGCAUAGCCUAGUGUUCUGAGGAUAGAAGAGAGAGAGGCGGGAAUCCCUGUGUUCUAAUUCCCUAGUUCUGAUACCAGUUCCCUCUUUAGCUUUGGAUACACCACUUUUCUGACUCAUUUCCAACCACUGCAAAAUGUGGACAAUGCUUAUUCCUACAUAAAGAUGUCAUGAGGAUUGGUUAUUUAUUUUGUAAAGCAUUUAGAAGGUAAGUACUAAGUAUUAAUUAUUAUUAUGGAAACCUUCCAAAAUAACACAUCUACCAAUCACAGAAAUAGGAAAACAUCUGAAAGCUUUCACGAUUCAAAACCACUGUGAACCUCAUUAAAGAAAGAAGCUUCCUUUUAAUGGAAAAGAUGAGGGGUCAAGGAGUCCAUUGAAAUAGAAGAAAAGGUCACCCACAAGUGAAAGAGCUUAAAGAAUGUUAGAAAGUAGGCGAGGCUAAUACAGCUGGAUAGAAAUAAACUGAUCCUUAACCACCCUGCAAGCCACCACCAUAUGCUGCCUUUUAAUAGAGAAGAAACUCAAUAGUGAUUAAUGGUAAUGGACUUGGCACACUUUGGAGCUCAUUUAUAUCCCAUCUGGGGUGAAGAGAAUUUUUUUGGGGGGGAGGGAUAGCUCAGUGGUUUGAGCAUUGGCCUGCUAAACCCAGGGUUGUGAGUUCAAUCCUUGAGGGGGCCAUUUAGGGAUCUGGGGCAAAAAUUGGGGAUUGGUCCUGCUUUGAGCAGGGGGUUGGACUAGAUGACCUCCUGAGGUCCCUUCCAACCCUGAUAUUCUAUAUUGCUGAUAAAAAUGCAACAUAGCACAAAGGGUACUGCAGCCCAGAACUUGUGACUUAACAUCUGCACCUCUUAGCUUCCAGAAUGUGGACAUCAGCGUAGAGUUGUGCAGUACAGCUGUUUCUGUACAUUAGAAAUAUUGCCCUCUCGUGCUGUGCUCCUUGAGGGAGAAGUGGGCAUCACCUUGUUUACCAGUAAGCUAAGUUUUACAGUAGUUUGACAUUUACAGAAAUCUGCAUUUUAACAUCUUAUGUGGCAAGAUGGUGAAUUUAUAUACCUGAAGGCUUCUUCAGUCCAAAUGCUGGAAGCUGAAACUAGACAAAUUCAGAGUGGAAAUAAGGUGUAGUAUUUUAACAGUGAAGGUGAUUAAGCAUUGGAACAAUUUACCAAGGGUUGUGGUGGAUUCUCCAUCACGGCAAUUUUAAAAUCAAGACUGGAUGCUUCUCUAAAAGAGUGGUAGUCAUGUUAGUCUGUAUCAGCAAAAAGAAUGAGGAGUACUUGUGGCACCUUAGAGACUAACAAAUUUAUUUGAGCAUAAGCUUUCAUGGGCUAAAGCCCAGUUCAUCAGUGAAGUGGGAGUGGGCUUUAGCCCACGAAAGCUUAUGCUCAAAUAAAUUUGUUAGGCUCUAAGGUGACACAAGUACUCCUCGUUCUUUUCUCUAACAGAUACGCUGUAGUUCAAACAGGAAGUAUUCUGGGGAAGUUCUGCGGCCUCUGUUAUGCAGGAGGUUGGACAUUGGUCUCCUCUGGCUUUGGAAUCUAUGAAGCUAUUUAGUCAGAGAAUAGGUACAGCAGGGGCAGUAGGAGCUUUCCGUGCACUUCCCGUCGCAGUGUGUCCUAGUCCUGAUUCAGAGGAACCACCUCUGGAAUGAGUGUUUGUCAGUCCUUGGCCUCUGAGCUGAAGCCACCAAUAGAGGUGGUGGUUUUGUGGUGUGGGUGAGUUUGCUGGGAACUGGUCUGACCAAUUCAGUUCAUCGGGGGCCACCAAGCUGUCAGCAGAUGGUAAUGACUUUCAGCCACUACCAACCUGGGAUUGAUAUGAAGUGCAAGGAGAGGCUCCAAAUCCUGUUAACAAGUCCCUGACUCCCCCGUCCUCCACUGGUUAGUGGCAUGAAUCACUCCCUCAGCCCUGUUGUUGAAGUGUUAGUUCAUAAAGAUACAGCAUCGCAAAUUGGCAAUGCUGGUGUCUCAGUUCCAAUCUUCCCUAGGGGAGUAAACUUCGUCCCCCCCUCAAUAUCUGCCUACAGGGUCUUUUGAAGUAUAGGGAGAUGAGAAUUGAUUGCAGUUAACACAAACGGAGAUUCUCCACUGAGGCCCCUAGACACAGCUAGACCCUAUGGUUCCCUCUAGCUGCCAGACUGACAAUACACAGCACGUGCUGCCUAGGGGGUUUCUGAUAGGGCCUCUCCACAUCCUCACCUAGACUAGGCUGCCACAGAAGAGCCAGUUGGUAACCCUACACUGAUACACCAGUUUCUAAUGUAGAAUGUCUCAUUCCAAGAACUACAGGGAUUCCUUGGAAUCGUUGCAAACUAAUAAAUAAAUAGCCCUCCUACUGACUCUAAUGGGAGUUAAGCCCUCCUACAGACUCUAAUUAGUUAAGAAGGGAUGCAGAGGACCCAUAGAAAUCAGUCUGAAAAGACCCUCUCAGGUCAACUGCCCAACCCUGCUACCAGUGCGUCAAAUUACUUGUAGAAAAGGGCAGUCAGAUUGCCUACAAUGGCAUGCAGCCCAUCAGUGACUGCCAAUAACAAAAAUCCACAACUGUUGAAAAUGGGCCACUAGAUGGGAAGGGCUCUGAGUUACUACAGAAAAUUCUAUCCGAGGUAUAUGCUCAGGUCUAACUGAUCGCCAUAGCUGGAGUCAGGAAGGAAUUUUCCCCCAAGUCAGACUGGCAGAGACACUGAGGGUUUUUCACCUUCCUCUGCAGCCUGGGGCAUGAUUUAAACUAGUGUAAAUGGUGAAUUCUCUGUAACUUGAAGUGUUUAAACUAUGAUUUGAGGACUUCAGCAACUUAGCUAGAGGUUAAAGGGGUCUGUUUCAGGAGUGGGUGAGGUUCUGGGGCCUGCCGUGUGCAGGUCAGACUAGAUGAUUAUGAUGGUCCCUUCUGCCUUAAAGUCUGAGUUUAUGAAAACACCACUUGCCUCUUUCCCCCUCUCAGUGAAAAUUUGGUCAAGUACAUUUAAAAAGGAAAAACAUUUUUUUAAGAUGACACAUUUUGCUCAACUCAAAAAUGCCUGCUGGGGGGUGGGGAGGCUAUUAAAUUAACACCGCACACUCUGUUCAUAAUAUUCUUCCUCUGAUCAGUGUCUGGCUGCAUGAACCUCUCUUGAGUACAAACUGGAAAGUUGUAUGACAGCAUGUACAGGUCACAUAACGGAGGGCCACACAGCCCUGCUGCACCCCAUCCCAGGGACGUCCCAGUGGAGCAGCCUCACUGAGUAGAGGUAAUUUGGUACAGCUGUGCUUACUUAGGUUCUGACUCUUUAAAAGGGUUGGGCCACAGAAAGUGCGGGCAUGGGGUGAAGGUAUGACAAAGCUGCUCUGUUCAUAAUUGGUCGGGAGACUACACACUGUUCAGUUGCAUGGAGAGAGUGUGAUCAGAGGCUGUGCUAUUCUGGUUGUACACAAACCUUGCAAAUAAACUGGAAAAGGCAGAAGGUGUGGUUUUAUUUUGUUGCUUAACCUAGAUCUGCUGUGAAC